GCAUCCAUAGCUCAGUCGGUAGAGCAGAUCCCUCUUAAGGAUAUGGUCGGGGGUUCGAAUCCCUCUGGAUGCACAA
rnacentral:tRNA from 1 species